GUUUCGGCUCGUAAAGCUCUGUUGUUAAAGAAGAACACGUAUGAGAGUAACUGUUCAUACGUUGACGGUAUUUAACCAGAAAGUCACGGCUAACUACGUGCCAGCAGCCGCGGUAAUACGUAGGUGGCAAGCGUUAUCCGGAUUUAUUGGGCGUAAAGAGAGUGCAGGCGGUUUUCU
rnacentral:rRNA from 1 species